GACAGAGGCCCCAAGCAUUAGGCGGAAUCACUGGGCUUAAAGCGUGUGUAGGCGGAUCGUUAAGUGUCUUGUGAAAUCCCACGGCUCACCCGUGGAACUGCUGGGCAUACUGGCGAUCUUGGGCCAACUAGGGGCAGCCGGAACAAGCGGUGGAGCGGUGAAAUGCGUAGAUAUCGCUUGGAACGCCGAAGGUGAAAACAGGCUGCUGGGGUUGUGCCGACGCUGAGACACGAAAGCCAGGGGAGCAAACGGG
rnacentral:rRNA from 1 species